GACGAACCGUGCGAACGUUAUUCGGAAUUACUGGGCUUAAAGCGCGUGUAGGCGGGACGGCACGUCGGUCGCUGAAAUCCCCCGGCUCAACCGGGGAACGGGCGCCGAUACGACCGCCCUGGAGGGACGUAGGGGGGACCUGGAACUUCCGGUGGAGCGGUGAAAUGCGUUGAGAUCGGAAGGAACGCCCGUGGCGAAAGCGAGGUCCUGGACGUCUUCUGACGCUGAGACGCGAAAGCCAGGGGAGCGAACGGG
rnacentral:rRNA from 1 species